rnacentral:lncRNA from 1 species
AAAUGUCCACACUAAGGCCACCCUGAGGUGACUGACAACUGAAAGGUUCAUGUUCAUCACAUACCUACAGCUGGCUGGCAUGACUCUCAAAAGGAAUCUGGGCAAUGUGUCACAUGUGCCACACUGAACAUUCCUGCUCAUAUGCCUUGCUCCUUGGGGGCUAGGUUCUCUCCAGCAACAUGAUCAUGGAUAGAGCCAUUCACAUGAGAAAACUCCAACUGUGCUGAAGUACUACCACACAUGCCACACCAAACCAGAACAAGAUGCAGAACUCAGAACUCCUCCAGUGCCAUGCCUGGCUGGACACUCACAUGCUUCCCGCCAUGAUGAUAAAGGACUUAACCUCAGAACCAGUAAGCCGUCCCAAUUAAAUGUCCUUGUUGGAGUAGGUGUGCCCUUGUUGGAGGGGUGAGCUUUGAGAGAUUCCUCAUAGGUACCCAGAAGUCAGUCUUCUCCUGCUGGCCUUCAGUGCCAUGCCCCCUGGAUGCCGCCAUGCUUCUUGCCAUGAUGACAAUGAACUAAACCUCAGAACCAAA